AAGAGAAAGAAAAAAAAAUAAGAGAAAAAAAAGAGAGAAAAAGAUAUAAGUGUAUUUUGGUUAGUUUGCUGAAAAAUCGGACCGAAUCUGCAAAAACGAAAAAUAUGGCACACUUUUGCAAAUAUCCAAAAUUAGUGGAUUUUUUAUACAAACUGGCCGUUUUUUUACUUUUCAUUCCUGAUUUUCAAAAACUUGCAUUUUGCCCCCUUUCAGAAAUAUUUUCAGAAGGUACGGUGUUAGUAGAGAUGGCAAAAUUACCAAAUUAUCCUUACUUCUUUUAUAAAUAAAAAAAAAUUUAAUAUAUUUUUAUCAUUUUAAAAAUAUAUUUUUGGUAUAAAUUAUAAAAAAUAAACGAAAUAGUGAUGGAACCAUGGUUUUUUAAAGAGGGGCUAAAUAUAAUAACUUGAAAUA
rnacentral:lncRNA from 1 species